AUUCAAUCUUUCAAAAUUUUAAUUUUAUUAUUUAAUUUUUUAUUUACUUAAUUUGAAUCCUUCAAUGUUAUUUUAAUUUUAAAAUUUAAGCUAAUUAAUUAUUUUACUGAAUUUAUAAUUAUGAGUACUAUAUAAAAUAUAUUAACUAAAUCUAUAAGAGAAACGACAUAUUUAAAUAUUAAAGUUAAAGUAUCGUACGUCUAGUGAUUCAAAUAAAAU
rnacentral:lncRNA from 1 species